CGGGCCUCUGCCACAUGUUCCAGCCCCGGCUCCGAGGCAUUGACGUCUGAGGGGGGAAGGCCCUGGCUCCUGGGCAAAGGACCAGAGGGUAUGGGACGCCCCCGGCCUGCGCAUUGUGACCAGUGGCCUGCCCGUGCUGCCUGUGUUCUGCUGCUCCUUUGAUGAGGUCACAAACAAAUGAUCUCCCACCUGGGGGGAGGAGGGCCAGUCUGCAGGGCUGUUUCCAGGGCUGGCCAAGUGGGGCAGCUGCACUCUGGUGUGCAUGUCUGUAGGGGGCUCCCCGUGCCCCCCAGGGAGGAAGCGAGCUGCCUGCCACACUAGACACGAGCCUCAGGGAAGGAGGCAAGAAGCACUAGACAGGAUCCUCCCAGCCCAGGGAGAUGAAAGUCAAGCAAACAUCCCACUCGGUGGGUGCCAAAACCACCGUGCCCAGAUGAGCUACAGAUGAGAGCAGACCUUUCCACAGAAAUUUUAAAUAAGUGGGACCAAGAUCCUGAGGCAAUUCUUCUGAGUGCUGUCACAAGAGAUGGAACCUGGCUGUCACAGAGCCACCUUGAAGACAAAGCACAAAGCCACAAAGUGACGGCGACCCAGGGGCAGCCACAGUGCAGCUGGAGAAGCAGACCGGUGGAAGCGGAGGUCCCGUCAUUUGGGGAUGCCCAAGCGUUCUGCUUGUUGACUUUCUGGGGUGCUGGAGCGCAUGCCAUCGGCUGGCUGGGAGAGGACUGAGAAAGUCAGACACGUGAGCAGGAGUGCUUGGGAAAGCCUCAGGGGCCUCCCCACUCCGCUCAUCAAACAAGAUGAUUUUGCAAGAGUUCCGAUGGCCAAUCACCAGGCGUCCCUCCCCCACAGACCUGAAGUGCUCCUUCUGACUUUUUGUGUCCUAACCUUUAAAAACAUCCUUAAACGGCACCUGUUUCUUUUCAGUUGACAAUGUAACAAAGACUGCACUGAUGUGGUCAAAUUCCCAGGACCUUCCAUUCUUUUGGGAUUGGACCACAUGGCUGGUGUCAUCCCAUACCAUAGUGUCUGGAUACCAUGCUGAAGAAUAAAGUUUACAUUUUUAUUUUUAUCUUUA